UUAAAAUAAACCUGCCUUUUUCCAUUUAGCAUUUUAUCAAAUGAAUGUAAUUUUGUUUGCUGAUGAAUUUAGUUCAGCAUCAGGGGGAUUUUUCUCUUCUUCCCGGGGAGGCUGGAGAAUCAGGAUUGUCAUGCCAAAGGAUGAAAAACAAGAUUAGGGAGAAAAGACAGGCUGAUACUGACAGAGGCUAAUUAGGUAGAAGGAUGCUGGGAAGACAAGCGCCUAAGGAGGAUCCAUGCCGCAGCGCAGAGGGAGAGCUGAGGGUGCCGGGCUGCCCAGACAGCAUCAUUGAGGAUGGGACCACCACCCCCCAGUCUCAAGCUGCUCUGCAGCUUGGAAACUCUGCAAAGCUAGCCAUGGGGAAGAGACUAUCAAGAUCUUAUGUAUUCCAAGCUAGCCUCAAAUUCUGCUCCUCUGCUCUUGACUGCAGAACCAAACCUCCAGACCCAGAUGGACAUUUAUUUUGACGAAAAUCGCAUCGAAUCUCCAUACCUCUUCGAUGUUUGGACUCAUCUCAUGGAAGCAAGUGUUCACCAUGAAAAGUAGGGAAGGUGGAGUGUUCCCGUCCGGCAGCAAAAAUCCUUCCUCCUCAGUGUGCACCGUGUGCCUUUCAAACACUGGUGGGAUGGGAUUACGCUUGUUUCUAGAAAGACAGUGCUGAUUGACUGUGACUGGAUGUGAGUCACAGUUGAGCUGCUGACAGCUGUUCUUGUUAAUUGUGGUUUAAACGUUUUAUAUGAUGGCUAUAUUUCCUUAGGCUGGGUGAGCAACAAAGCCUAGCCCCGGAGCUGGAAGAGCCACCGUUCUCAGGGAGCACUAGCAACUGAAGUUUGUGUGAAACGACCGUGCCCUCUGACCUUAUGUUGGACUUCCCAGUGUUAAGGCUUGUGCCUGUGAGCACAGUUGCCAUUUAUCAUGGCGCCUCCUUAGAACCUCUAUGACAAGAGAAAAACAUCAAAGGCAGAACAGAUGGUUUCUAAGUAGAGAAAAAAAAAACAACAAAAAACAACAGUGGUUAAAGUGUGUGUUUUUCCAUUGAUAAAGAAAUAGUUAUUUGGAAGAAAAAUACUCCUGAAUGUUUACAGAGAGACUUGGUGCCUUUCCUUCUCCCUGAUGUCUUGCUGCAUGUAUACACGACUGUGGACUGCGCAAUGGACCAUCACAGGUAACAAGGUGGCGAUUCAAUUAAUUUUUAAAAAAAUAUAUGUCUACAAGGUUACAAAAUAGAUACAUUCUUUUUUUUUUCCUUACUGUCUUCUUACAUCAUGGCUUCAGCAAUACAGCGUUAACACCUUGUUUUCAUGGCCCUUACAUUGUCUUCAGCACUUAUCAGUCAUCUAGAGAGGAGUCCAGGUAGAAGGCAGCACGCACUUAGAACACAUACAAGCACUAUACCAACUUACACAAGGGACUUGAGUGCCUGUCAAUCAGAGGACUUGGUGUCAGCCUCCCGACACCAAGGGACAACUGCAUUACUUUUAUAAAUCUGAAAAAUUUCUGAAAACCACAUCAGCCCUCUCUUUCCCCUCAAUUCUUGAAAUAUACUAUAAAAAAUAUACUACAAAAAAAAAAUAACAUUUUACUCCCUGUCAAUGGAUAAAGAAACACCUUGUUGGUUGUGGUGUUCUUACACCAGUCAAAGGCAGAGCAGGUGAUAGUAUUUCGUUCAUUCUAGCUUGAUGCCUGUCUUGGUGGCUAAUGUUGUUUUAUGCCUAGGACACAUCAAAAUCAAAAUCAAAUCAAAUCUAAUACAGGGCAGUGCAGCACAGGAGGAGAAAGACAUACAGAAACCUGCAGACCACAAACCUGUUCUCUGGUAGAUGGGCACAAGUGGCCUUAGACACACAUUUACUAGAGGAGGUCACCCAAGCUACCACCAGCCAUGCAGCCAGCCUGAAUCAGGAGCCACCACAUGUGCAGGUAUGUGGUGGUCAGAUGGAAGAGAGAGAAGUGGAGCAGCUUGAGUAUUAUGAAGAGAGAUGGAAUUGGAGACUAGAGCACGCAAGAAAUAGCCUGCUGUGAGUGGCCAGUCCUGCCACCUGGGGCCAUGCUGAGGUCCCAGCCUGAACUGCCACUGAGGGCCAUGUCUGGGUCUGUGCCUAGGCAUUGGCAUGGGGCAGUGUGUGCAUGUCCUUGGUUCGUAUUACCAUUAGAAACAAUGAGACGUCCCUGGUCAGGCAGCCACCAGGGACCACGAGGAUGUCCAGGGGGCUGUGGAGAACUGGCUCCACCCCUCACUAGCUGAGAUGCUCUGGAGAGCUAGCCCUGCCCCUCACCAGCUGCAGCUCUCAGGAGAGUGGUCCCUGCACUUCACCUGGACAGCACAGCAGAGCUGUCCCUGGCAGUGAGAACACAUGUGAACUGGCCCAAGGGUGAAAGCACUGAAGAGCUAACCCUGCCACUCAUCAGCCAUGAGGUAACAACAUGUCUGUGAGAGAAAAGAAGAUGCCCUCCCCCACAUUACCCCUCACCACCUCUGGCAGCAAAGAGAGCUAGUCCUGGGAUCAUGAGACUGGGAUGAGCUGGCCCUGUCCCUCACCAGCUUCAGCACUUGGAAGAGCAGGCCCUGGACUGCAUGAGUGAGGAAGAGCUAGAUCAGCCCCUCUCAAAAUUCAGGACAUGAGAGUGGGCCCUGUGCCUUGGCUGUGCAGCACAGUGGAGCUGUCUCUGAAGGCAUGGGCGUGAGUGAGCCGGCCCUGAGGGCAUAAGAGCAGAAGAGCUAGCCCUGCCUCCUGCUGAUGGCAGCAUUUGGUGGCCGAAGCAGUACUGGAGAGCUUACCCUGGUAGUGUGGAUAGAGAGAGCCAGAGUGUUGACCAACCCAGCUACCACCCAGCCCCAGAUCCUGGGCCCUGAGUUGGCCCAUUCCAAAAAUCUAUAGCAUAUGCAAACAGUUGGGAUGCAUGAAAGGGCCAGCCCUGCUGAUCCAAAGCUGCAGAAUCUCCAUGGCACAGGGCAACAACAGGAUAUCUGGGAGGAGGCCUGGUGAGGAUCCAACAUUGAUGAUGUCCCAGAAGCCAAAGAUCUCUCACUAGACCAACGAUUCUACUACAAUAAACAUUUGCAAGUGAAAAUGUGUAGACAGAGGAUUAUACUGUGGGACACACAGUGACACACUACAUCUCAUCCACAAUGAGAUGUUUUCUAUGCUUUGUUGGUUGUUGUUGCUGUUCUUGUUGCUGCUGCUGUUGUUGUGUGUGUGUGUGUGUGUGUGUGUGUGUUAUUUUGGGAAGGAGGUUGCAAGUGUCAAAGGUGGAUAUGAGGGGACGGGGAGAUGCACAGGACUGGGGUGCAUAAUAUAAAACUCACAAAGAAUCAAUGAAAAGUCUUUUAAAAGAAAUAACAUUUAUACAUCAAUAUGUUGGUAAAUAAGAACCUUGGCGUCACACAAAGGAACACAUGGAUAAAGUGGAAUUUAGAAUGAUAAAGAAACAAAGGAGUGAGCAAGCUUUAGGUCAAGACAAUCAACACAUUUACUGCCUGUGUGCCUUAGUUUAGAUAAUGGAUGAUGGCAACUUUCCUCUUUACAUCCUUUACUGAUUAACAAACAAACAUGAAAACUCCUGAAGAAGCAAGCUGGGCUCUGGGGCCUGGGAAUAGGACCUUGCUGGCAGUUUCGACCCUGCCGGCAAGAUGGAACUUGUUCCUGAGAUGGCUGGACCCAGGAAACUGUCUCUUAACAAGAGUGGGAUCCAUCCUCUUCUCUCCCUUAACCUAGCAUCCUGGCACCACUCCCUGAGGCCCACAGGUUCUGCCUCUACUAGUAUAGGACUCAACGUCUCUGGAAACUCCUCAUCCCUCCUCUCAACAGCCCUGUGUUCAUCGUCUCACACACAGGGACAUUCAGACCAACGGGUCUCAACCUUCCUGAUGCAGCAACGCUUUUAUAUGGUUCCUCAUGUUGUGGUGACCCCCAACCAUACAAUUAUUUCAUUGCUACUUCAUAACUGUAAUUUUGCUGCUGUUACGGAUCAUAAUGUAAAUAUUAGCCUAGCUAAUAUGCUACUCCGAAGGUGCUGCGCCCCACACGUUGAGAACCACUGAUUUAGGCCUUUCUCGCUGGAGUCA